CUGGAGGUAGCUGGCUCCGCCCGGCCCGCGGGCGAGUCCGGAAUACAGUUACCCACCUCAGUUGCCCACCGGAAAGCAAAGGGAGAGGAACCCGCCAGACCAGAAACGGAAGAGAGCGCGGGGGAUGUGUUUGGCGUGGGGCGCACUGUUCAGUUGCUCUCCUGGAUGGCUUUAUGUCUCCGCGGUGUUUCCUAGAGUCUCGGCGUUUCUACCUCUUCGCACCCUUUCCUGCCACCCUUUGUCCCCUGGAAGCCCGGAGACAUCAGCGGCUGCAAUUUUGCUACUCGCUGCUCGGCGUGGAACUGUCAGGACAAAAAAUAAUAUCCAAAGAUAUUUUGGCACUAACGGCGCUAUCUGUAGCAAGAAAGUUGAGCAGUGUGAACUGUUGAGACUUCCAAGGAGACUUCAGACAACCAAGAAAGUGUAAAGGAAAACAGAGAAAAAGACUUGUUAGACAUUAUUAAGGGCACGAAAGUUGAAUUGAGCACAGUAAAUGUACAAACAACAAAGCCACCCAACAGAAGUUCACUUAAAAGCUACAACUGGCGGGCCUCAAAGAGCUUUAGGACAUGCUCCAAAGAAGAGAAAUGAGCCCCUGAGUCCUGAGUUGGUGGCAGCUGCAUCUGCUGCUGUGUUUUGACAAGCAAACAAGCCAGAACUGCUCAGGCAGCUCCGUAGCAUGAGGAAGAGUCAGGGGCACAGAGAGAUGGAGAGAGACCUAAUUAGGAAAAAUAUAUUCAAGGGGAAGAGAUGUAAUAGAUUUCACAUUAUGGCAGUUACUAAAGAAGCACGUGAACAGACACAUCACCUUCGCUUUGGGGUAUGGAAUUUGAUAAGCAGUUAGCCACAGAAUAUGAACAACCCCUUUAGAAUGAGAUUGAAGAACUGAUCCAGGGGACAAAAGAGGGGAAACUGAGAGUUCCCAAUUAAUAAUGAAGCAGAAUACAAGCGACGGUGGCAGAGGGAGGAAGUAACUCAUACUAGGAAGAACAAACAGCUGCUGGAAUAUGCUUGUGGUUUAGAGCUUCUUUUAAAAAUCCUGUCAGCUGCAAAGGAAAGGAAGGACUAAUAUUUUCCACGAGGUCAGUAACAUCUUUAUGAAGAUGCUCCUUUUGAAUGUGGUACAGAAAGUUGGAAAACACUUAGGCAUGGUAUCUGGCAUAGUGCCCCUUAGGGAGCACUUCACAUGCAGACGGUCCGGGGCUUAGGAUGGUUUGACUUAGAAUUUUUUGACUUUAUGAUAGUUGCAAAGGCGAUGCACAUUCAGUAGAAAGCGAACUUUGAGUCCCCAUAAAGCUAUCCUGUUUUUCAUGUUUAGGACAUUGUUCCCAUAAAUUCAUGAGCUAUUCAAUCCUUUAUAAUAAAAAAGAAUUUGUGUUAGAUGAUUUUGCCCAAAUGUAGGUUAAUGUAAGUGUUCUGAGUACGUUUAAGGUAGGCUAGUCUAAGCUCUGAUGCUCAGUAGGUUAGGUGUAUUAAAGACAUUUUGACUUACGAUAUCUUCCCCUCCCAAUAAACCCAUUGUAAGUCAAGAAGCACCUGUAGAGGUCUGCCUUUACCAAUUUCAGCUGCGACAAAUUUAAUGUUCCUGUAUUGCUUUUAAAUUGGAGAGCAGCAGCAGGUCUGAAACAAAUACUGCAGUUAGCUUUGUGUUCUUCGCUAUUUAUUGAACAGUUCAGAGGGCAAGGAAGCAAAGAGAAGUGCUCUGAGUGUGUCUUUGCUUGCCAGCUCCUGAAUUUUUAACAGUUCUACAGUGGCCUUCCUGUAUUUUUCUCUCGUUUUGUGUGUUCU
rnacentral:lncRNA from 1 species